rnacentral:rRNA from 1 species
UACAGAGGGGGCAAGCGUUAUUCGGAAUUAUUGGGCGUAAAGGGCGCGUAGGCGGCUUGGCAAGUGGAAGGUGAAAUCCCUCGGCUUAACCGAGGAACUGCCCUCCAAACUGCUUUGCUUGAGGCCGGGAGAGGUAAGUGGAAUUCCCAGUGUAGCGGUGAAAUGCGUAGAGAUCCGGAGGAACACCGAAGGCGGCUCUCUGGGACGGUACCGACGCUGAGACGCGAAAGCGUGGGGAGCGAACAGG